rnacentral:rRNA from 1 species
AGUCUACUUGAUCCUUCGGGUGAAGGUGGCGGACGGGUGACGUAACGCGUAAAGAACUUGCCUUACAGACCUGGGACAACAUUUGGAAACGAAUGCUAAUACCGGAUAUUAUGACCUGAGUCGCAUGAUUUGGUUAUGAAAGCUAUAUGCGCUGUGAGCAGCAGCUUUGCGUCCCAUUAGUUAGUUGGUGCAGGUAACGGCUCACCAAGACGAUGAUGGGUAGCCGGCCUGAGAGGGUGAACGGCCACAAGGGGACUGAGACACGGCCCUUACUCCUACGGGAGGCAGCAGUGGGGAAUAUUGGACAAUGGACCAAAAGUCUGGUCCAGCAAUUCUGUGUGCACGAUGAAGUUUUUCGGAAUGUAAAGUGCUUUCAGUUGGGAAGAAGUCAGUGACGGUACCAACAGAAGAAGCGACGGCUAAAUACGUGCCAGCAGCCGCGGUAAUACGUAUGUCGCAAGCGUUAUCCGGAUUUAUUGGGCGUAAAAGCGCGUCUAGGCGGUUAGUAAGUCUGAUGUGAACAUGCGGGGCUCAACCCCGUAUUGCGUUGGAAACUGCUAAACUAGAGUACUGGACCCCCUAGGCGUAACUACAAGUGUAGAGGUGAAAUUCGUAGAUAUUUGUAGGAAUGCCGAUGGGGAAUCCAGCCUACUGGACAGAUACUGACGCUAAAGCGCGAAAGCGUGGGUAGCAAACAGGAUUAGAUACCCUGGUAGUCCACCCGUAAACGACGCCCCACUAGUUUGGGGUCGAACCUCAGCGCCCA